rnacentral:rRNA from 1 species
GAUGAACGCUGGCGGCGUGCCUAAUACAUGCAAGUCGAGCGAACAGACGAGGAGCUUGCUCCUCUGACGUUAGCGGCGGACGGGUGAGUAACACGUGGAUAACCUACCUAUAAGACUGGGAUAACUUCGGGAAACCGGAGCUAAUACCGGAUAAUAUAUUGAACCGCAUGGUUCAAUAGUGAAAGACGGUUUUGCUGUCACUUAUAGAUGGAUCCGCGCCGCAUUAGCUAGUUGGUAAGGUAACGGCUUACCAAGGCAACGAUGCGUAGCCAACCUGAGAGGGUGAUCGGCCACACUGGAACUGAGACACGGUCCAGACUCCUACGGGAGGCAGCAGUAGGGAAUCUUCCGCAAUGGGCGAAAGCCUGACGGAGCAACGCCGCGUGAGUGAUGAAGGUCUUCGGAUCGUAAAACUCUGUUAUUAGGGAAGAACAAGUGUGUAAGUAACUAUGCACGUCUUGACGGUACCUAAUCAGAAAGCCACGGCUAACUACGUG